rnacentral:rRNA from 1 species
AUUGAACGCUGGCGGCAUGCCUUACACAUGCAAGUCGAACGGCAGCACGGGAGCAAUCCUGGUGGCGAGUGGCGAACGGGUGAGUAAUACAUCGGAACGUGCCCUGCAGUGGGGGAUAACUAGUCGAAAGACUAGCUAAUACCGCAUACGACCUGAGGGUGAAAGUGGGGGACCGCAAGGCCUCAUGCUAUAGGAGCGGCCGAUGUCUGAUUAGCUAGUUGGUGGGGUAAAGGCCUACCAAGGCGACGAUCAGUAGCUGGUCUGAGAGGACGAUCAUCCACACUGGGACUGAGACACGGCCCAGACUCCUACGGGAGGCAGCAGUGGUGAAUUUUGGACAAUGGGGGCAACCCUGAUCCAGAAAUGUCGCGUGUGUGAAGAAGGCCUUCGGGUUGUAAAGCACUUUUGUCCGGAAAGAAAUCGCUUCGGUUAAUACCUGGAGUGGAUGACGGUACCGGAAGAAUAAGGACCGGCUAACUACGUGCCAGCAGCCGCAGUAACAC